GAUCCUGGCUCAGGAUGAACGCUGGCGGCGUGCUUAACACAUGCAAGUCGAACGAAGCACUUUAACCUGAUUCUUCGGGAUGAAGGUUUUUUGUGACUGGGUGGCGGACGGGUGAGUAACGCGUGGGUAACCUGCCUCAUACAGGGGGGAUAACAGUUAGAAAUGACUGCUAAUACCGCAUAAGACCACGGAGCCGCAUGGCUCAGUGGGAAAAAACUCCGGUGGUAUGAGAUGGACCCGCGU
rnacentral:rRNA from 1 species